GGUAUAUUCAAACUCACUUUAAAGAAAAAGAAAAUUACUGAGUUACCCAGAUUGUUCCUCAUAAGCCCCAGACACCCUUCCCAGCUUCCAGCUGAACAUAAUUCAAAACAGAAGUCUGUAAUAAGUAACUAAUCUGUUAUUGAAAACACAAAACGUAUUCCUUAAAGGGACACUUAAAGUCAUGGCAGAAAACAAGUGUUUCGACAAAAUGUUUUGACGAUGAUAAUGGAAUAUGAUGUGGGGAAUUGUGAGGUCAUGCACCUUAGCAGGAAGAUUUCGGAUGAAUAGAGGAGCUGAAUAUCAUUUAAGUAGAGAAAGACGGCAACAAAACUACGCAACAGGUGGCAACAAAUCCCACAUCUGAUUCUUCCUCAUCAGCAACAAAAAGAACAAGCAUCUCGUGUCGGGAGGAUGUCAGAAUCGGAGGGAGUGAGUGCCCACAGUAUCUUUAAGAGGAAAUAAGUGAUCAAAUUUAGUGCUUUUCACACCUGUUUUUGCCCACCUUGUCUAAUACUGCUUUCUGUCUCUUUGUAACCUCACAG